GCCAUCAUAGCUCGGUGGCAGAGCACUGAUCUUGUAAACCAGGGGUCGUCAGUUCGAAUCUCACUGGUGGUU